rnacentral:rRNA from 1 species
ACUCAAAUGAAUUGACGGGGGCCCGCACAAGCAGCGGAGCAUGUUGCUUAAUUCGAGGCAACGCGAAGAACCUUACCUGGGCUUGACAUGUAGAGAAAAGCCGUAGAGAUACGGUGUCCUUCGGGGUUCUACACAGGUGGUGCAUGGUUGUCGUCAGCUCGUGUCGUGAGAUGUUGGGUUAAGUCCCGCAACGAGCGCAACCCUUGUCCUAUGUUGCCAGCGGGUAAUGCCGGGGACUCGUAGGAGACUGCCGGGGUCAACUCGGAGGAAGGUGGGGACGACGUCAAAUCAUCAUGCCCCUUAUGUCCAGGGCUGCAAACAUGCUACAAUGGCCGGUACAAAGGGCUGCGAAACCGCGAGGUGGAGCGAAUCCCAUAAAGCCGGUCUCAGUUCGGAUUGGAGUCUGCAACUCGACUCCAUGAAGCUGGAGUUGCUAGUAAUCCCGGAUCAGCAACGCCGGGGUGAAUACGUUCCCGGGCCUUGCACACACCGCCCGU